CACGUAGUUAGCCGGGGCUUCUUAGUCAGGUACCGUCAUUUUCUUCCCUGCUGAUAGAGCUUUACAUACCGAAAUACUUCCUCACUCACGCGGCGUCGCUGCAUCAGGGUUUCCCCCAUUGUGCAAUAUUCCCCACUGCUGCCUCCCGUAGGAGUUUGGGCCGUGUCUCAGUCCCAAUGUGGCUGGUCGCCCUCUCAGGUCGGCUACUGAUCGUCGGCUUGGUAGGCUUCUACCCCACCAACUACCUAAUCAGACGCGGGCCCAUCUUACACCACCUCAGUUUUUACCCCUGUACCAUGCGGUACUGGGGUCUUAUGCGGUAUUAGCAAUCAUUUCUAAUUGUUAUCCCCCUGUGUAAGGCAGGUUGCCCACGCGUUACUCACCCGUCCGCCGCUAAGUCACCCUCUCUUCCCUCCGAAGAGUUCUAAAAAGUGCUUCGCUCGACUUGCAUGUGUUAAGCACGCCGCCAGCGUUCAUCCUGAGCCAGGAUCAAACUCU
rnacentral:rRNA from 1 species